AUACGUAGGUGGCAAGCGUUGUCCGGAUUUACUGGGUGUAAAGGGCGUGUAGGCGGAGAUGCAAGUCAGGAGUGAAAUCUAGGGGCUCAACCCCUAAACUGCUUUUGAAACUGUAUCCCUUGAGUAUCGGAGAGGCAGGCGGCAUUCCUAGUGUAGCGGUGAAAUGCGUGGAUAUUAGGAGGAACACCAGUGGCGAAGGCGGCCUGAUGGACGACAACUGACGCUGAGGCGCGAAAGCGUGAGGAGCAAACAGGAUUAGAUACCCUGGUAGUCCACGCUGUAAACGAUGAAUACUAGGUGUGGGGGGACUGACCCCCUCCGUGCCGCAGUUAACACAAUAAGUAUUCCACCUGGGGAGUACGAUCGCAAGAUUGAAACUCAAAUGAAUUGACUGGU
rnacentral:rRNA from 1 species